UACGGGGGGGGCAAGCGUUGUUCGGAAUUACUGGGCGUAAAGGGCUCGUAGGCGGCCAACUAAGUCAUACGUGAAAUCCCCAGGCUCAACCUGGGAACUGCGUCUGAUACUGGUUGGCUUGAAUCCGGGAGAGGGAUGCAGAAUUCCAGGUGUAGCGGUGAAAUGCGUAGAUAUCUGGAGGAACACCGAUGGCGAAGGCAAUCCCCUGGGCCUGCACUGACGCUCAUGCACGAAAGCGUGGGGAGCAAACAGG
rnacentral:rRNA from 1 species